CUGAAGUGGCAUAAACAGGGCACCACACUGAAGAAGCUCCCAUAAGCAGAUCGUCUGCAUUUCAGAAAGAAAUACUCUGGGAGAGACUCUCUUGGAGGAGAGCGGUGGGUACAUCCGGUGUCUGGGCACUCCUUUCCCGUGAUGGUGCAGAUCUGGUUCUCUGGGACAAGUGGAACAUUUCCUGUCUGGUUUCCCUCCAGAUGUUUGAGGAUGUGAAGAUCCAACCCACGGGGUCUCUCAGGAGGUGAUUUGAAUGUUCUAAUAAAAUGCAGUAGUGGACUGCUUCCAGACGGCACUUUUCUAGCUAAAGGAGAAGGGGUUCUUGUAAUCUGAAGGAUCCUUUCAAAUCACAUCAGUCUGGCAUGAAUGGAGUAGAGGUGACAGAAAGCUCCUUGAACACAAGGCUGAGGCCUUUCCUCAUCUUCAGAAUUUCAUUCAACUGGAGAACAUAAUCAGCUGCUUUAACAGGAAAUAUCUGGAAAGGCCAUCUUAAAGGGCCGUGCAAAUCAGAGGAGGAUGCCAACUUGCCUUCUCCAUAGCAAAGAGAGCAGAUGGUAUGUGGAGGUGUGCACGCAGUGAAGGCGGUGGGCACAAUUGCAGAAGGUACAAUGCUGUACAGUGCAGAACCUCAGGGAGGUUGUGAAAGGGUUAAGGCACAGAAGGUGAGCCAUGCUAGCACUGCCACUGCAGCUCAGAAGUGGCUGGCAGGUACCUUCAGUGACC